rnacentral:rRNA from 1 species
GAUGAACGCUAGCGACAGGCCUAACACAUGCAAGUCGAGGGGCAGCACAUGAGUAGCAAUACGAUGGUGGCGACCGGCGCACGGGUGAGUAACACGUAUGCAACCUACCUUCUACCAGGGGAUAACCCGUUGAAAGACGGACUAAUACCCUAUAAUACAGGGGCUCCGCAUGGAGAUAUUUGUUAAAGAUUCAUCAGUAGAAGAUGGGCAUGCGCAUGAUUAGCUAGUUGGCGGGGUAACGGCCCACCAAGGCAUCGAUCAUUAGGGGUUCUGAGAGGAAGGUCCCCCACACUGGUACUGAGACACGGACCAGACUCCUACGGGAGGCAGCAGUGAGGAAUAUUGGUCAAUGGGCGAGAGCCUGAACCAGCCAAGUCGCGUGAAGGAAGACUGUCCUAUGGAUUGUAAACUUCUUUUGUACGGGAAUAAAGUGGGCUACGUGUAGCCUUUUGUAUGUACCGUACGAAUAAGGAUCGGCUAACUCCGUGCCAGCCGCCGCAGUAA